UACAGAGGGUGCGAGCGUUGUCCGGAAUCACUGGGCGUAAAGGGCGCGUAGGUGGCGGGCCAAGUCAGUGGUGAAAGCUCGAUGCUCAACAUCGAGUCGGCCACUGAUACUGGUUUGCUUGAGCACUGUAGAGGCAGAUGGAAUUCCGGGUGUAGCGGUGGAAUGCGUAGAGAUCCGGAAGAACACCGGUGGCGAAGGCGGUCUGCUGGGCAGUUGCUGACACUGAGGCGCGACAGCGUGGGGAGCAAACAGG
rnacentral:rRNA from 1 species